AAGAUUGGCAAUAGUUGUUGCUCAGGGCCAAUCUUCCUCACCAAAAAAAGAAAAAAAGAUCACUGGUCCAAUCUGAGUAAGUGCUCUUCCUGAGGUAAGAGUGUCACGUCAACAUCAGUUUCCUGGUUUUGAUGAUAUACCAUGGUUAUGUAAGCGAUGGUUAUUGGGAAAAUUGGGUGAGGGUACAUAGAAACUCUCUAGACUAUUUUUGCCACUUUUUAUGAGUCUUAAACCAUUCCAAAAUAAAAAGUUAUUUUAAAAAAUGUACUGAUAUAUUGCUAUGACAACCAGGCCUGAAAAGUUUGUGCCAAAAAUGACCGUGCCGCUGAGCUCUUCCUUUCAAGGGCACAGCAGUUCGGCGCUCCAAAUCAAGCCCCACCUCCCUGGCUGCCCUCCAUCCUCAGCCUCACAGUGCCACCCUAGCUCUUGGAACCAGCUUCAGAACUCAGGGGGCUAAACAGAAUGGUACAGGCUGGCCUGAGAUUCUCUGGGGGAAUGUGUCUAUGGGGAAAUGCUCCUGUGUUCCAGAGACCCGGUUUCCUAGUAUACUCUGGGAGCCCUGCCCGUUUGUAACUUGGUGGUUGUCUGUGUGCUCGAUGGCUUGAGCAUGACCUUGGGUUUACCACAGAGGACAAGGGAAACUGAAGCCACAAGCUUUGAAUUUCUUCUGCUUUGAAAUAAGCAUUCAUCUUUAGAUGGGCAAAAAAAGUUUUUACUAAUAGAGUGAUCGAUCGUAUUUCUCCAAGCCAAAGUCUUCUAAGAAGGCUGUGAUCCCCCCCUAAAAAAGAAACGCACUUAAAUAAGCUGGAGCUGCACCGAGACUUUAUCAGAAGAAAGAGGAGCAGCUCGUGGAGCAUAAGGGAUCACAGGCGAGAUUGGAACGGGACGCUGUAAAGCCUGGAACUGGACUCUGUAAGGACUGGAACUGGAUGCUGUAAAGGCUUGAACUGGACGCUAUAAAGCCUGGAACUGGACUCUCUAAAGCUAUCAGCAACCGAAGCAUCUACUCGUUCUGUCUCUUACUGGGAGAUGUAGAGUUUCUGCUGAUUAUCGUGAGUCUGCUCCCUCUUCUCUCACUUUCUGUAGCUCUGCUUAGUUCACUUUAUCCACAUGGCAGAAGUGUCCACCUCAUCUAUAAGGCCUACCAGACCAAGAACUCAAGGAAAGCUUGAUCGGCCUGAGUUCUAAUUUCAUAUUCACCGAAAAGAGUAUCUGCAAAGCUUUCGUCAGGCAUCCACAUCUGGUCCAGUUAGCUGUGGUCACGCGGGCGGGGCACAUGGCCUGUUGGCCGCUCAGCAAGGCUGACUCUCAGAGACACAGCUGCAGGCAGGCAAGGUUGGAAAGGCCUCCGCUACUCCUAGUUUUCUAGGAAAUAUUGUGUUUCAGGAUUAAUCAAGGGGAAUUCCUUGGGCUUGGAAUUUGAUGGCCUAUUAAAUACCACAAAAUUCUUACUUGAUUUUCUGAUUAUGUUUUUAUCUUGAUGGCCAUCUUUUUAUAAAUUUUCUUAAAAUAUGUUUGUAAUUGAACCCGAUCCUUCUACUCUGUUUUGAAGAAAGCAGAGUACAGUCUUUAUUCUUAUCAUAGAUAUUGUCUCCAGGAACUUUCCCAUAUUUCUGGGUAUAGACAAUAUGAGUUGAUAUCCUUGUGGGUAAUGUGGACCUUUUAUUCGUGGGCAACUUUUGCAAAGAGGCUCCAAAGGUGAGAAAUGCAAGUGGAAGGGAAAAUUCAGCUGAAAGAAUGGAGGAUGGAGAAUUCAUGAGGCCCAAAGUCAGAAGGAUACGAAGAAUGCAAAAUCUGCAAGUGUAUUUAGCCAAGCCACAUGGAGGGAAUUGUUUUAACCACUGAACUUUGAUCAGAUUCCCCAAAACAGGCAUUUCUCCUCACUUUCUUUCUUUCCUUCUCUUUAUGUCCCUCUCUCCUCUGAUUUUCUUGAAGUGUUAAAAGAAUGUUGCUAGUUCCUUUCUUAACUUCUUUAUGGAGCUAAUUACAAAAACAGAAAUAAGAGGAAAGUACACUUUGACCAUUUGUUAAAAAAAAGUUAUGGUUUAUACAAAUAGCUGGAGUUUUCCAGAUAUGGAAUAGACCUUUCCAGUGCCUUGGUGAAUCCAUUUGCAGAAAGAUUCGAGGAAAGCUCUAAAUACAGUCAGUGCCAGUUCUUGCAGGAGGUGUGGGAGUUUGUUUCUCUACAUCUCCAACAAGGGUGGGUGCCUUCGGGAAGUUGCCUCAAUAAUGAGAUUUGAGCACACUUUCUGAUGGACUUUAUUCCCCCGAUAGGGCAUGAGUUUGAUAGACGUCUUCUCUAUCACAUGUUGUUUCCCUUCCAAGAAAGCAUGAGUUAUCUGGACUUUUUUCCCCUAAAUUACAUGGAAAGAUAGAAAAGAGGGAGGGAGGAAGCAGAGAGGGAAAAGAGAGUAUUUUAAAAGCUAAAACCAACAUCAAACCUUACUAAGGCAGAGGUUGAUUGUUAAAUAAAAUAACGCCGUUAAUGGGUAGUCAGAGUGGUUCUAAACAGAGCAACACGUGUGAAUUUUGCACGUCUCUAAACCACAUUUAAUAGUGCUUGUAGACAAAAAAUACAAUCACAAGUCAAGUCUAUGCUAAAGAAAGCAUUAAAGAUCAUUAGGAUACAUUUAAUAUUAAAAGACUUUGCUUCUGUCUUAAAAAUGUUCUGUGACUUUGUCUUUUCUACAAUUCUGUUGGAACGUUUCUCCACUCACUCUGGUCAUUCCAAUUGCAUGAACCUAUUCUCUAUUUCCUAUACAAAGCUGCUGUCCUUUUGACAAUUUCAUUGUUGUAUAAAAUGAUAACACAAAAGUAGGUUUUUUCCCAUAAUUUCAGCGUUGCCAAUUAUCUGGAUCAUCCAAACAGUGCCGACACAUUUUGUUCCGACUCUAAUUUGACAGAGGACAUAGCCAAAGGGAAAGAUUUAUCUCAUUCUACGCUCAAACCCUUCCCUGUUUUGCGUGAACAGCUGAUUAUAGAGAUCAGGAAUUUCAUUCUAUUGACUAAUAACCAAACAGAAUUCCCUGUGCUAAGUGCUCUGGCUGCAUCUUGCCUAAAGACCUGGGGGAAAAGUCUGUCCUCCUUGUAACAUUUUCUGAUAAGCACCCCAGCUGGACGGCAUCUGUGAAGGGUUCUCUAAGGCAUAUUUCCACUAGUCAGAUGCUAUGCAUCUUGUUUAUGGGAAAAUAAAACUUGAUUCCCAUUUUUGGAGUCAACUAAAUGGAUUCUUACUAAGUCUCCAUUUGGGAGAAGGAGGCCAUCCAUUAAAAUAUCUAUAUCUGGAAUCUCGUAUUCAAAGAAUAUUUAAUUAUUUGGAAAUAGUCAUAAUAUAAAUGUUUGGUUAAAAAGUAUCAGUAUGCUAAGCUGUAGCCGUAGUUUAAUCUCAAAAACAUCUCUUACUGGAUCCUGAAAAUGCUUUAUUUGGAAGCAAAGGUGUUUAUUUCAUAAUUCCUCCUAUGCCUUAAAUGUAAAUCUCAGAGAAAUAGAGCUUAUCAGCUGAUCACACUGGAUGCUGGCAGAUGGUGUCCUUUCCUGAGCACACAUUGUGAUAACAGGAUGACAGUAUGAAGUCUGAGUGUCUGGAGGUGGGAGGGAAAAGACAGAGGGAGGGGAAUUGUCUCUUGCAGGGCAGCUGUUGGGGCUGAAAGCCAUUACUCACUUCAAAGGUGCUGAGAACUCCGCCUGAACUGGGAGGUAAUUGGCCUUAGCAAUGGGAAAUACUGGUAGAAUCAGGCUCUCAUAACUUCCAAAAUCUUUAUCUUUUUCUUUAAACUGAAGACAGCCAAUCUUUGAUUGCAUUCUACCAUCCCAACUCUUACUUUAUUUAACGUGAACGGGCUCAAUUCCCCUAUUAGAAGGAGAGUCAGUUCAGACUAGAUCCCAAACUGGACUGGGCUCAACAUCUACUUAUGAAAUAAGAUGAAACCAUGCAUUUGAAAAUAAAAUAUGCCGUAUGAUGAAUAUAUAAACUUUUAAUAUAUAAACUUACAUCCUUAAGAGUUUUGAAAAUUUUUUUGUUUCACUCCUUGAGAAAUCCUAGUUACAUAUUCAAACUGAGGCUUAUUCAUAAUUCGAAAUGUUUUACAUUUUUAGCCAGCUUUAAAUGUAAAUUAAAUAAAUUUGAAAUAGUUUUAGCUAAAUGUAUUUAUUCACUUAUAUUCAAAAUUUUUAUCCAUAAUAGCCAAUGUCUGAGUAAGAGAGUAGAUUAAAUUAUUCCUUUAGUUAUCAGACAAUAAAUAUUUUUUGAGAGCUUAAUAUGUAGACACGAGGACAGAAUGACACGAAAAAAAAGAAAGCAGUUGCCCUCUACCCUCAGAGAACCUCAGACCAGUGGGAAAUAGACAAUGAUCACAUGCAAAAAAGUGAAAAAUUACACUGAGGUAAGCUCUCAAGAAAGGACUAAAAUGCCACGAGGAUGCGUCAUAACCUCUUAUUUGGGAAGGAAGGUGUCAAGGUCAAUAACAAAAGCAUUCUUCCGGCUGGCCGGUCCCCGUCAGCACUCUUUGCUCCCGUCAUCCACCUGGAGAAGGGCCAAGGUGUGUGCGACUGCCUGGAAGAUAUGGGAGUGCGGCGGGAGGAGGGCCAGUCCAGCGCCCACGGGGUUGGGAAGACGAUUUAGUCGUCCUUACUUUAGCCCAGAGGCCACGCCAUCACAGCAUUUUGGAAAUUCAGGAUUGGAUUCUCUGCACUCUGCACCACUCUCUGCACUUGCCCGGAGCGCACAGACAACUCUCAGAAGGAUGCCUUAAUUCUGGAUUUGGGGGAACCUGCCCCCUCCUUCCCCCAGCCGUUCAGAUCAUUAAAUCACUUCAUUUUCUCCCCCUCCCCAAGGUCUCCUCUCUUUUGGUGUGUGGGCUUCUGCGCGGGUUGACAUUUGUUCAUUCUCCUUGAGGCUCUUCUGCUGCAAGAGGAAAGGGGGCAAGUUCAGACCCCAAGGCUGAGAUGAGAGAAGGAAAGGGCCCUUUCAGGGGCUCCACCUCCAGGUGGGAUGUGUCGAAACCAGUGGGAUUCCCAGCACUGUGGAGUCAGCCUGCUGGCACAUCUCCUGUACCUCCCUGGGUGCAAAGAUUGUCAAUCUCCUUUCUGGCAUGGAGUUACAAAAAGCCCCUCCUAUUGUUAUUCUAAACUUACAAGGUGCCAGGCUCCAGAAAGAAGGGAGGGCGGAUGGAAAACUCAUCUUUCUACAGGUGUAACAGUGAAACUGACCCAAGCAGAUGGGGUGGGACAGGAUCCGGAAGGAAAUGCCAUUUGAGCCGAGAACUGAGACAGUGGGAUGAGCAGAGAGGAGAAUGCUCCAUGUGGAGGGGAAGCCGGUGCAAUGAGUCUCCAGCAGGAAGGUUCAUGGGCUGGGAAGGAGCUGAAAGAAGCCGGUGAGGGUGGACUCUAAAGUGUGGGGAGCAUUCAUGGUUCAGGAUGAGACUGAAGAGGCAGGCAGGGGCUACAGGGACCAUGCAAGGCUUUGUAGCCCACGUUAAGGAUUUUGGUGUUUUCUUGAAGAGCAAUGGAAAACCAUCAAAUGCUUUUAACUGGGGGCAUAAGAAGAUCCAAUUUUCAUUUGGAAAAGACAACAGUAGCUUCUAUGUCCUGAAUAGAUUGGAGAGGGUCAAUAACGGAAGGAGGAAAAAUAAUUAAUUAGGAUGCUAUUCCAGGAGUCCUGAUAAGACAGGUGGUCACUUUAAUUGGGUAGCUUAAGGGAUGACCACCAGUCUCUUUGGGGGAGGACUGGGGAUAAUCAUUAUCAUGUAUGUUUGCUGUGAGGUUUUGCAGAAUCCUUCCUCCUGGGGACCCAACCACUUUUCAAUAGAUGAGUUUCAGGUCAAAAUAAUGGCUCCUCCAAACUCUCCCUUAUCCAACCUUAUGUUUUGGCCUGUUUGUCCAAAAUAGCACCCUCAGAAUCCAGUCCUGUGUGUCCUCUUCCUGCUCCUACUUAUACAAUGCUCCUUUGGGGUAAUGCCUUUCCUCCCUUACCAAGAUCAGUGCAUCCCUGGCUGGGUUGGGUUGCAACUUAACCUUGGCUAUAGGCCUGGUGAUGGGAGGGAAGAUGGGUGCGGAUCCCAAGAGGCCACCAGUUGUCUUGUGAGGCAUUGUUUACAAGUAAGAGGAAGGGGUGAGCUACUUCUGUAGGCUCACAGGAAUUCAGAGGAAUCCAGAUUCAAGACAUGGGGGAGCUUGACAUCUGCAAAAACAGUGGAGCAAAAACCUCUGAAACGCCAUCCAUCCAUGAAAACAAUGAGAGAAACUGGCAAAAACUAUCAGAGCCAAUUUCUCAGAACUCUGGAAACUAACCAAAAGCUUGCGGUAACCAGGGGAACACUUAUUGAAGAAAAACAGUUGAAUCUCCGUAAUUUUCUUACGGAGAUUCAAAAAAGCAAGUUUUGUGGCUUUUUAACUUACCCAAAUCCCUUCCAUUGUGCCCCAGCUCAGUGAUAGCCUAGCAGACCCCAUCCUGUUUUGCUGGUGCCAGUCCAGAGGGAACAGAACAGACUUCAUUCACAAGGAAUUGUAAUUAUUUGUUUUGAUUGGUCUGGUGGAUCCCUGGAAGACCAACUCAAAAGGCUUGCCCCUGUGUUGCCUGACUUGGAAUUCCCCCAGAGCUAAAACCACUAUCUGGGAGCAUUUGUCAAAAACAAUUACAAGCAGAUGUAAAUAAAAAAAUAAAUAAGAGCUAAUAAACGAGUUCAGAAAAGUUGUAGGCUACAAGAUCAAUAUGCAAUUGUCAAUGGUAUUUCUGUACACUAACAAUGAACAAUCCAAAAAUGAAGUUAGAAAAACAAUUCCAUUUACAUCAGCAGCAAAACAAAUGAAAUACUUAGGAAGAAAUUUAAUCAAGGAAGGGCAAGACUUGUGCAUUCAAGACUGCAAAAUAUUAUGGAAAGAUAUUAAAGGAGACCUAAAUAAGUGGAAAGUCUUCUCUUUUCACGGAUUCGAAGACUGGAUAUUGUUAAGAUGGCAAUAUUCCCCAAAUUGAUCCACAGAUUCCAUUCAAUCCUUUUCAAAAUUCCAAUGUUGUCUUUGCAGAAAUGGACAAGAUGAUCAUGAAAUUCAUAUGGAAAUGCAAGAGACCCCAGAUAGCCAAAAGGAUCUGGAAAAAAACAAACAAUGUAGGAGGACUCAAACUUCCUAGUUUCAAAACAUACUACAAAGUUACAGUUUUCAAAGCAGCAUGGUACUGGCGUAGAAAUAAAUGUAUAAACCAGUGGAAUAGAAUCGAAAGUCCAGAAGUUAGCCCAUACAUCUAUGGUCAAUUGAAUUUUCUCAAGGUGCCAAGACCAUUCAAUGGAGAAAGGAACAGUCUUUCACCAAAUGGUUCUGGAACAACUGAAUAUCCACAUGCAAAAGAAUAAAUUUGGAUUUUUACUUCAUACCAUAUACAAAAAAAUUAACCUAAAAUGAAUCAGACACCUAAAUAUUAGAGCUAAAACUGUAAAAUUGUUAGAAGGAACCAUAGGUGUAAAUCUUAGUGACUGACACGUGCUACAACAUGCAUAGACCUAUAAAACAUUAUGCUACGUGUCAGAAGCCAAGCACAAAACACUACAUUUUGUAAGAUUCCAUUCACAUGCAAUAUCCGGAAUAGGCAGAUUUAUAGAGAUGGAAAGUAGAGUCGGUGGUUUCCAGGGCAUGAGAAGAAGAGGGAACUGGGAGGUAUGUGGUUUCUUUUGAGGAUGUUGGCAAUGUUCCGGAAUUAGGCAGUGGUGAUGGUUGCACAACAUUUGGAAUAUACUAAAAACAACUGAGCUGCAGACUUUAAAGUCAUUACGAUGGUGAAUUUUAUCUCAAACAAAUUAGAAAAACAUAUUUGGAGGAACAAUGACCCUGUUGUCCUCAUUCUGUGAGUCCUGGUCAUAUUCUUUCCUAUAAGGGCCCUGACUCGGGCAUUACAGACCUGCCUUGGUUGGCAUCUGACCCUCUUUGGGGCUCGGCUCCUCUGACAAUUAAGUCUGGGCCCCAUCCUCAGCUUCGUCUUCCUUCCUGCUGCUGGAAAUGAGAGCAUCUUUGUGUGCUACCAAGGGGGCCUUCACCUGCUUGUUAAUCGUUCUUAGGCUGUAUUUCUCUCUUAAACAGCUCAUCUAUCACACAGCUAUGUUGCAUCACGUCUCUUCCCCUGUUAAACAUCCCAGUGCACCACUGCAGAAAAUUUAACCCGUUAGACUACUGUCUUGCACCGGGAGCUGUCUCCACCUACUACUGAUGAUGGGGUCCUCAUCACCAGUGGGACAAGUGGGUGUGCCAGCCCCCAAACUCCAUUGUUUCACCUGCUGUCUCAGCACAUUCCUGCUCCUAACUCUUGCAGACUGGGUGCCUUGGAAAAGUCUCUGAGAUGGGGAUUCAGCAAGUACAGUGUUUGUUCGGGAGUGCCCUGGAGAGCCAUGCCUGAGGAAGGGAGAGAAAGCAGCAGAAUGGGACAGAGAGAGAAACUGAGCUGCGCUUUAGGUCCAACAAGAGCCCCGGAAGACCCCACUGAGACCCCUGGAACUACACUGAUCCUUAGUGUGGUCCUGAGUUGGGCCAAAAUGGCCAGACCUUUAUACUUCUCAAUCGAUCAGUCAUUUCACGUGCACUGCUCAAGGAAGGGAUGAGCAAGACAGCUCUCUGCAGCUAACAUGACCCCGGAAGGGUCUGACGGUGGAAGGCUGUCUGCCAGCAGCAUUCCCAGCAGCUGGGGUAAUGAGUCUUGCCUUGAAGGCAUCUAGGAGCAACAACUCAGUGUUCAUCACUUCCUUCACUGGCUCUUCAGCUAAUCUAUUUUCAUUAUUCUUCUAGGUCUUCCCAUAGGGAUUAAAUAUGAAUCCUUAGUUUAUCACAGUCUACUCAGAGUUAACAUUAUAUCACUUCUCAGAAAAUACAAUAACCUUGUAACAAUAUAUUUCCAUUUAUCACCAUCCUUAGUUCUAUUGUUGUCAUGUAUAUUACUUGACUUACUUUAUAAACCCCCAAUACAGAGUUAAAGUGUUAUGUCUUUUAAAGAAAUUAAGAGAAUAAAAAAACUAUGUAAUCUUUUG